rnacentral:rRNA from 1 species
UAGCUAUGUUCGGAAGGGAUAACCGCUGAAGGCAUCUAAGCGGGAAGCCCCCCCUAAGAUUGCGUCUCUCCAUAAAUCCGCCGCAAGAACAGCGGUUAGAUCGGCCACAGGUGUAAGCAUGGUAACGUGUUCAGCCGAGUGGUACGAAUGGAU